GGGCCCUAGUGACAAGCAUUAAGCUUGGCAAAGUAGUAGCAACAUCAAUCUCAGAACAUAGUGGAUACUAGGGAUCAAUCCCCGUCAAAACUAACUCGAUUACAUGAUAGAUCUCAUCCUACUCAUCACCGCCCAGCGAGCCUACGAAUAGAUUACUCACAAACGACGAAGAGCUUCAUGUAAUUGGAGAGGGAAGAAGGUUGAUGAUGACGAUGGCGACGAUUUCCCCUCUCCGGAGCCCAAAACGGACUCCAGAUCUGCC
rnacentral:lncRNA from 1 species